GGCAUGCGUGAGGCAGUCUGAGGCUUUCAGCGCAGUGGUAACUGAGCACAGUCGCACUUUGGAGAACAGGCGCGGAGAGCAGGAAAGCAGGCUGGCUGUCCAGGAAUCCUGGCGUAUGCGGUCACUACCCACACUCUGCCGUGCCGUAAGGAAGCCCGGACUGUUUUAUCAGAGGGAGAGGCCCCCAGGAGGCUCCAGGAAGAUGGGACACCUCGGGGACGCACAGACAAGCGCAGCGGUGUGACUGACUGCAGUCAGCACCAGGUGGACGAGAAGAAACAUCCCCGAAUCCACCAUACCAAAUGGUGGUUGUUUUCAGCCACUAAGUUUGGGGGCUGUUUGUUACACAGUGAUUGGUGACCGACAAGGGAGGCUCUGGUGUGUCUGUGAAUAGCAAGGAACAGGAGUAACAAGCCACACGUGCGGAAUGCCUGCUGGAUGCGGGCUUGUGAUGCCGGCCAAUCACAUCCUCUAAUCCGAUGCUCAUCGUAAACCUCUUCCCCGGUUUCCAGAGACGCAGAGAAUUCCAGCACCUGUCUAAGGACACACACGUUAAGCGACUUCCUACUUCCCUGCAGCAGGACACGGAGGUGCCAGCGCUUUCUGGGGUCUGGACGACAGGAAGGGCCCUCCCAAACAUAGUAGUAUGACUCAGCAUCUGGCGGCCAGCAGAGGCAGUGAAGGUCCCGGGUCCUCGGUUUACUGGUCUGCGAAGUGGUGUGAUAACAGACCCUCCCCCAGAAACAUGGUGAGGAUGCUCGGGGAGCGAGGUUGGCUCAGGCCCUCGCCAGGCGUGCACUUUCUCUUCCAGCUCGCUCUUCCUCAGCUCUGCCGCCGGCUCCCCGUGGGGACGCAGAUGGGUCACCGGGUCACCGACCCCGACCCCUGUGGUGUAACGUUCUCACCUGAAGUGCUCUGUAAACGGUGACUGUCCCUGACAGAGGGAUAAGAGAAGCGCAGCAAUGUCUUCGCACCUCCGGGCAAUGGAAGAGCGAGAGCCUCCCUGUUCCCCACUGGCCGUGGCCCCAGCACGGGUCACAGGCCUUCUCCGAAUCCCCAGGUUCCCUCUGCCUUAACCCCUGGGCACUCACUCAUCGUGUGUCACAGAUUGUGUGCUAAGGGCUGGGGCAUUAAAAAAGUGAAUGUUUCAGCCCCGGCGGGUGUGGCUCAGUGGACUGAGUGCCAACCUGUGAACCAAAUGGUCGCUGGUUUGAUUCUCAGUCAGAGCACAUGCCUGGGUUGCGGGCUGAGUCCCCAGGAGGGGGUGUGCAAGA